UACGUAGGCAGCGAGCGUUGUUCGGAGUUACUGGGCGUAAAGCGUGCGUAGGCGGUUUUGUAAGUUUGGUGGGAAAUCUCCCGGCUCAACUGGGAGGGUGCGCCGAAAACUGCAAGGCUGGAGUGUGGGAGAGGUAGGCGGAAUUCCUGGUGUAGCGGUGAAAUGCGUAGAUAUCAGGAGGAACACCUGUGGUGUAGACGGCUUACUGGACCAUGACUGACGCUGAGGCACGAAAGCGUGGGGAGCAAACAGG
rnacentral:rRNA from 1 species